rnacentral:misc_RNA from 1 species
AACGCACGAGACCUGCGGACCUGCGGAAGGAUCAUUAGUGAACGCCCUCACGGGCUUAUAACUAUUCCAAACCUCUGUGAACCGUGCCCUUCGGGGCUAUUUUACAAACAUGGUGUAAUGAACGUCAUAUAUCAUAACAAAACAUAACUUUUAGCAACGGAUCUCU